rnacentral:tRNA from 20 species
UAAGAUGGACCCUAAAAAGUCCUUU